rnacentral:rRNA from 1 species
CUUUACACAUGCAAGUCGAACGGUAACAGGGAGCUUGCUCCGCUGACGAGUGGCGAACGGGUGAGUAAUAUAUCGGAACGUACCCAAGAGUGGGGGAUAACGUAGCGAAAGUUACGCUAAUACCGCAUACGAUCUAUGGAUGAAAGCAGGGGACCUUCGGGCCUUGUGCUCCUGGAGCGGCCGAUAUCUGAUUAGCUAGUUGGUGAGGUAAAGGCUCACCAAGGCGACGAUCAGUAGCUGGUCUGAGAGGACGACCAGCCACACUGGAACUGAGACACGGUCCAGACUCCUACGGGAGGCAGCAGUGGGGAAUUUUGGACAAUGGGCGCAAGCCUGAUCCAGCAAUGCCGCGUGAGUGAAGAAGGCCUUCGGGUUGUAAAGCUCUUUUGUCAGGGAAGAAACGGCUGUGGCUAAUAUCCACGGCUAAUGACGGUACCUGAAGAAUAAGCACCGGCUAACUACGUGCCAGCAGCCGCGGUAAUACGUAGGGUGCAAGCGUUAAUCGGAAUUACUGGGCGUAAAGCGUGCGCAGGCGGUUUUGUAAGUCUGUCGUGAAAUCCCCGGGCUCAACCUGGGAAUUGCGAUGGAGACUGCAAGGCUAGAAUCUGGCAGAGGGGGGUAGAAUUCCACGU